rnacentral:sRNA from 16 species
AUCUGAACAAUGCCGAAUCUCCAUUUGGAGUACGGGGGAUAUAUUUUGGGGUGAAACUUAUUUUUAUAUAAGUAGGGUUCCUCAAUCCUAACCCGUCAACUAACCUCGGAGGCAAAACGAGGAGGAAAU